AGAAAAGUAAGUGCAAGUAUCUUAACACAAAAAAGUUAGGUCAAGGUGUAGCCCAUGAGAUGGGAAGCAAUGGGCUACAUUUUCUAAAAGUAGAACCCCCUU